AUGCAUACAUUGUGCAUGAGUAGAGGGGGAAAGUUUAAGAGAGAUGACAAGAAAAAUAUUGCUAAUUUCUUUGGAGUGGGUGUUUGGAAUAUACAAAGAAUUUGGAAGAAAGCGAUGGAGCAAAUUGCUGAAGGUCUGGAUAUAGAUGUUUCAAGUCAGAGGAAAGGAAAUUGUGGAAGAAAGCCGAAAGACAUCAAUCUAGAGCAAAUCCCUACCAUCCCACUGAACAGGAGGUCUACUAUCAGGUCACUUGCCUGGCAACUCGGGUGCAGCCCUACGACACUCCACCGGAAGUUCAUGCUGAAGUUGAUAAAGAGGCAUACAAACUGUUUGAAGCCAGCUCUGAAUGAAAAGAACAAGAAGGAUAGAGUGAAAUUUUGCUUGUCAAUGCUCGAUGAGACAACAACACAAACUGAAAGGCCAAAAUUCAAGACCAUGCACAACAUUAUUCAUAUUGAUGAGAAAUGGUUCUAUAUGACCAAGAAAAAAAGGAACUAUUAUCUGCCGUAUGGGGAGGAAGAGCCUACGAGAACUCUGCAAAACGGCAAUUGUAUUGGAAAGGUUAUGUUCUUGACAGCUGUUGCUAGGCCGAUGUGGGAUAAUGAAGGAAAUGUGACCUUCUCUGAAAAAAUUGGAAUUUGGCCGUUUGUGAAAGAAGUUCCGGCUUAGAGGAGAAGCGACAACAGGCCCAGAGGAACAUUGGAGACAAAGUCCAUAAAAGUCAACAUGCAAGUAAUGAGAGAGUUCAUGAUAGAGAACCUACUGCCAGCAAUACAAGCAUCUUGGCCUGAGAAUGAUGUUGGGAAAACCAUCUAUAUACAGUAA
rnacentral:rRNA from 1 species